UGUGAGCAUCGAACACCCGUGACUGCGCAUGUAUCUCGAUAAAUCGUUUAGGCGCAUGCGCAGGCACACCUCAACCACUCGCACAGCUGAACAGGAACCCUGGAACUUGGCUUUAGAGACUUCCGGAACUAAACGCUUGCGUUGUGGAGUUUGUGUACACCCUAGCGGUCACAAAAAAGUCACUUGUUUGAAGAUUUGAGAGAUAUAGUGAAAA